AGCUCAGCUGGAUAGAGCACCAGCCUCCGAAGCUGGUUUUACCUAUCCGCGACUGUCCGCCA
rnacentral:tRNA from 1 species